UACGUAGGGGGCUAGCGUUGUCCGGAAUCAUUGGGCGUAAAGAGCGUGUAGGCGGCCCGGUAAGUCCGCUGUAAAAGUCAAAGGCUCAACCUUUGAAUGUCAGUGGAUACUGCCGGGCUAGAGUCCGGAAGAGGCGAGUGGAACUCCUGGUGGAGCGGUGGAAUGCGCAGAUAUCAGGAAGAACACCAACGGCGAAGGCAGCUCGCUGGGACGGUACUGACGCUGAGACGCGAAAGCGUGGGGAGCGAACAGG
rnacentral:rRNA from 1 species